CAACAGCUUGAUGCACCUUCAGUUGCAGCUUCUUACCAAUGGUUUCAAAUUGUUAAAAGCUGGCGGCACGCUUGUAUACAGUACCUGCAGUCUAACCUUUGCACAAAAUGAGGAUGUGGUGGAG